rnacentral:rRNA from 1 species
UACGUAGGGGGCAAGCGUUGUCCGGAUUUAUUGGGCGUAAAGAGCGUGUAGGCGGCCUGGAAGGUCAGCUGUGAAAACUCGAGGCUCAACCUCGAGCUGUCGGUGGAAACCGCGUGGCUAGAGUCCGGAAGAGGGGACUGGAAUUCCCGGUGUAGCGGUGGAAUGCGCGGAUAUCGGGAGGAACACCCGUGGCGAAGGCGGGUCCCUGGGACGGUACUGACGCUGAGACGCGAAAGCGUGGGGAGCGAACAGG